UACGUAGGGGCCUAGCGUUGUCCGGAUUUAUUGGGCGUAAAACGCUUGUAGGUGGCUACGUCAAGUCGGACGUGAAAUCUCCCGGCUUAACUGGGAGGGGUCGCUCGAUACUGGCGAGCUCGAGGCAGGUAGGGGGAAGCGGAAUUCCCGGUGUAGUGGUGGAAUGCGUAGAUAUCGGGAGGAACACCAGUGGCGAAGGCGGCUUCCUGGACCUGUUCUGACACUGAGGAGCGAAAGCGUGGGGAGCGAUCCGG
rnacentral:rRNA from 1 species